GAUGAACGCUGGCGGCGUGCCUAAUACAUGCAAGUCGAGCGUACAGACGAGGAGCUUGCUCCUCUGACGUUAGCGGCGGACGGGUGAGUAACACGUGGAUAACCUACCUAUAAGACUGGGAUAACUUCGGGAAACCGGAGCUAAUACCGGAUAAUAUAUUGAACCGCAUGGUUCAAUAGUGAAAGACGGUUUUGCUGUCACUUAUAGAUGGAUCCGCGCCGCAUUAGCUAGUUGGUAAGGUAACGGCUUACCAAGGCAACGAUGCGUAGCCGACCUGAGAGGGGGAUCGGCCACACUGGAACUGAGACACGGUCCAGACUCCUACGGGAGGCAGCAGUAGGGAAUCUUCCGCAAUGGGCGAAAGCCUGACGGAGCAACGCCGCGUGAGUGAUGAAGGUCUUCGGAUCGUAAAACUCUGUUAUUAGGGAAGAACAAAUGUGUAAGUAACUAUGCACGUCUUGACGGUACCUAAUCAGAAAGCCACGGCUAACUACGUG
rnacentral:rRNA from 1 species